rnacentral:rRNA from 1 species
AGCCGCAGCCAUAUCACCCUGCAGCCCAAGACCGGGUACUCAUUAAGCAGGGCUGAGCCUGGUCAGUAGCUGGAUGGGAGACCACAUGGGAAACUAGGUUGCUGUUGGAA